rnacentral:lncRNA from 1 species
AUGUUGGCCAGGAUGGUCUCCAUCUCCUGCCCUCGCGAUCAACCCAUCUCAGCCUCCCAAAGUGCUGGGAUUUACAGGAGUGAGCCACUGCGCCCGGCUGGGAGAUUUUUUUUUUUCCUUUUUUUUUUGAGACGGAGUCUCGCUCUUGUCACCCAGGCUGGAGUGCGGUGGCACGAUCUCGGCUCACUGCAACCUCUGCCUUCCGGGUUCAAGUGAUUCUCCUAACUCAGCCUACCAAGUAGCUGGGAUUACAGGCAACUAUCACCACACCUGGCUAAUUUUUGUGUUUUUAGUAGAGACGGGGUUUUACCAUGUUGGCCAGACUGAUCUCGAACUCCUAACCUCAAGUGAUUCGCCCACCUCGGCCUCCCAAAGUGCUGAGAUUACAGGCCUGAGCCACACUGCGCCCAGCCAUAUUUUGCAAUAUUCUGUACCUCAUCCACUCUCCACCCACCAGCCUUAGCCUCCCUAGGUCUGUAACCCUCCUGCUUGAAUCAGCUUAUCAGAAUGAUACUUACCAAGUGGUGCUUUCUCUAUUUUCAUCACCCCUCUCCAUUCAUGGGUUGGCACUGUCCUGUAAGGAAGAGCCUUCCCUUCUCUUCAGUCAGCACAGAAUCAUGGACGCCUAUAUUAUGCAGUAGUUUGUAGUCUCUCUCUCUUUUUUUUUUGUUUUUUGAGACAGAGUCUUGCUCUAUUGCAACCUCUAUCUCCUGGGGUCUGGUGAUUUUCGUGCCUCAGCCUCCUGAGUAAC